rnacentral:tRNA from 1 species
GCGGAUGUGGCGGAAUUGGUAGACGCGCACGGUUCAGGUCCGUGUGAGCGUAAGCUCGUGGAGGUUCAAGUCCUCUCAUCCGCA